GAGUUUGAUCCUGGCUCAGAACGAACGCUGGCGGCAGGCUUAACACAUGCAAGUCGAACGCCCCGCAAGGGGAGUGGCGCACGGGUGAGUAACACGUGGAUAUCUGCCUUUUGGUUCGGAAUAACCCUGGGAAACUAGGGCUAAUACCGGAUGGUUCCUACGGGAUAAAGAUUUAUCGCCAAAAGAUGAGUCCGCGUACGAUUAGCUAGUUGGUGAGGUAAUGGCUCACCAAGGCGACGAUCGUUAGCUGGUCUGAGAGGACGAUCAGCCACACUGGGACUGAGACACGGCCCAGACUCCUACGGGAGGCAGCAGUGGGGAAUAUUGGACAAUGGGGGCAACCCUGAUCCAGCCAUGCCGCGUGAGUGAUGAAGGCCUUC
rnacentral:rRNA from 1 species